rnacentral:rRNA from 1 species
UACGGGGGGGGCAAGCGUUGUUCGGAAUUACUGGGCGUAAGGCGGCGUAGGCGGCCUGCUAAGUCGGACGUGAAAUCUCUCGGCUCAACCGAGAGAGGCUGUCCGAUACUGCUGGGCUUGAGGACGGUAGAGGGUGGUGGAAUUCCGCGUGUAGCGGUGAAAUGCGUAGAGAUGUGGAGGAACACCCGUGGCGAAAGCGGCUCUCUGGAACGGUACUGACGCUGAGACGCGAAAGCGUGGGGAGCGAACAGG